GGCCGUGUUCCAGCAUGACACAGGCUACAAUAGAUAUUGAUUUCCACGAGUCAUAUUGCAGAAGCCGGCAACAGAUGCCACUGUCUGACAUUGAAGAAUAAUCAAAAUGCAACCUCUAGAUAUAAUCAUGUUGGAGAUUAACAAGAUGACAGGACGAGGAAGAUACAUCUGACUCAUAAAAGCUAAAGUACAAGACUAUUACAACAGGAAGGAAAAGAAAGGGAGGAAGAUUCAAUUAAGAGAUGGAAUGGAAUGAAAAAAAGGAACGGAAUUUAUAAGGUUGCAUAGAGACCAACACGUGAAAACUCCACUACCACAUCAGCCUAGAAAAAUCUUUGAAAUAUACCAGUUACGGUCAUUCGGUCAACCAAUUCCCAAUAAAUGUGUGUGUGUGUAUGAAAGCCUAAAACAUCCAUGAUUUUUGAAAUAGCACGGUAUCGCAGCGUUCAUUUUAAUUCAUCCAUAUAGUACUCCAAACUAACAACUGAAAGAUUAUAAGAUAUAUGUUCUAGGAAUGAACUUACUGCCAAACAAGAAUUUAACUACAACUUACGCUUCCACAUUGCUUGAACCAUCAGUUGCACUCAAAGCAAAUGAAUAUGUCAAACCAUUUUUCAUGUGAGAAAGCAAGUCAUAACAUUGCUUGAACCAUCAGUUGCACUCAAAGCAAAUGAAUAUCCACGAUCAUACAGCGGGACAGAGUUGCUGUCCAAUGGAAUAAACGCGCUUUUGUU
rnacentral:lncRNA from 1 species